UACGUAGGGUGCAAGCGUUGUCCGGAAUUAUUGGGCGUAAAGAGCUCGUAGGCGGUCUGUCGCGUCGGCUGUGAAAACCCGGGGGCUCAACCCCCGGGCCUGCAGUCGAUACGGGCAGACUAGAGUGCGGUAGGGGGAGACUGGAAUUCCUGGUGUAGCGGUGAAAUGCGCAGAUAUCAGGAGGAACACCGGUGGCGAAGGCGGGUCUCUGGGCCGUAACUGACGCUGAGGAGCGAAAGCGUGGGGAGCGAACAGG
rnacentral:rRNA from 1 species